CCCUUAGAUGUUCUGGGCCGCACGCGCGCUACACUGAUGCAUUCAACGAGUCUAAAACCUGCUCUGAUAGGGGUGGGUAAUCUUUUGAAUGUGCAUCGUGAUUGGGAUAGAUGAUUGCAAUUUUUCAUCUUCAACGAGGAAUGCCUAGUAAACGCAAGUCAUCAGCUUGCAUUGAUUACGUCCUUGCCCUUUGUACACACCGCCCGUCGCUCCUACCGAUUGAAUGAUCCGAUGAAUAUCAUGGAUUGAGGAUGCAAGUAGGUUCGCCUAUCUUCAUCUUCGAGAAGUGAAGUAAAUCUUAUCAUUUAGAGGAAGGAGAAGUCGUAACA
rnacentral:rRNA from 1 species